rnacentral:rRNA from 1 species
AGAGUUUGAUCCUGGCUCAGGAUGAACGCUGGCGGUCUGCUUAACACAUGCAAGUCGAACGGACGUUUUCGGACGUUAGUGGCGGACGGGUGAGUAACGCGUGAGAAUCUGCCUUCAGGUUGGGGACAACAGUUGGAAACGACUGCUAAUACCCAAUGUGCCGAGAGGUGAAAGCUUUAGUGCCUGAGGAUGAGCUCGCGUCUGAUUAGCUAGUUGGAGUGGUAAUGGCACACCAAGGCGACGAUCAGUAGCUGGUCUGAGAGGAUGAUCAGCCACACUGGGACUGAGACACGGCCCAGACUCCUACGGGAGGCAGCAGUGGGGAAUUUUCCGCAAUGGGCGCAAGCCUGACGGAGCAAGACCGCGUGAGGGAGGAAGGCUCUUGGGUUGUAAACCUCUUUUAUCAGGGAAGAAGAUCUGACGGUACCUGAUGAAUCAGCAUCGGCUAACUCCGUGCCAGCAGCCGCGGUAAUACGGAGGAUGCAAGCGUUAUCCGGAUUUAUUGGGCGUAAAGCGUCCGCAGGUGGUUUUUCAAGUCUGCUGUUAAAGCGCGAGGCUUAACCUCGUAACGGCGGUGGAAACUGAGAGACUAGAGUAUGGUAGGGGUAGCGGGAAUUCCCAGUGUAGCGGUGAAAUGCGUAGAUAUUGGGAAGAACACCAGCGGCGAAAGCGCGCUACUGGGCCAUCACUGACACUCAUGGACGAAAGCUAGGGGAGCGAAAGGGAUUAGAUACCCCUGUAGUCCUAGCUGUAAACGAUGGAUACUAGGUGUUGCCCGUAUCGACCCGGGCAGUGCCGUAGCUAACGCGUUAA